rnacentral:ncRNA from 2 species
AUGAUGAUAAAAGGAGAGAGCACAUGUUGUGCCGCCGAAGGAGCAAACAAAUACUUUGUGAAUCUCUCAGGCAAACAGACUUUUAUCUGACG